rnacentral:rRNA from 1 species
UACGAAGGGGGCUAGCGUUGUUCGGAUUUACUGGGCGUAAAGCGCACGUAGGCGGAUUGUUAAGUCGGGGGUGAAAUCCUGGAGCUCAACUCCAGAACUGCCUUCGAUACUGGCAAUCUCGAGUCCGGAAGAGGUAAGUGGAACUCCUAGUGUAGAGGUGGAAUUCGUAGAUAUUAGGAAGAACACCAGUGGCGAAGGCGGCUUACUGGUCCGGAACUGACGCUGAGGUGCGAAAGCGUGGGGAGCAAACAGG